CUUUGCCCGGACGGGUGCCGUCGAAGUCGACCUGGAAAGGCGCGUCGGAGAGGGUGAGAGCCCCGUGCGCGACGCCGCCCGGCCGGGCUGCCGCUGUCUUCGGAGAGUCGGGUUGUUUGGGAAUGCAGCCCAAAGUGGGUGGUAAACUCCAUCUAAAGCUAAAUACCGGCACGAGACCGAUAGCGAACAAGUACCGUGAGGGAAAGGUGAAAAGUACUUUGAAAAGAGAGUCAAAAAGACCGCGAAACCGUUAGGAGGGAAACGAAUGCAGCUGAAGCGGCUCCCCGUCAGGCUCAGGAGGAGGCGCGCGGGUUCCCGGAGUGCGGGCGGAGGCCUGAAGAGGCUCCGGUUCGUCUUCGGGUGCGGGCCCGCCGUCCACUCUGCACUUCUGCGGGGAGCCGGCCAACGGCAGUUGCCCCCGGCUCUUACGAGGCGCUUCGGGGGAGGUGGCCCUGCGCUCCGGCGCGGGGAGCGUACAGCCCCGGCGCCCGGCAGUCCGGGCGAAUUUCGAUCUCGGAAAAAGAUGGCGACUGAGGAGAGACGUUGCGGUCCCUCGCACGUCGCGGCGCGGGCCUUUCUCGUUUCCCACCUCUCGGGGCGGGUUUCGGAAGGGCUGGGCCCCUCUCGUCGGGUUGGCGGCCGAGGCGGCCACUGCUCGUCAGUGGCCGUCGACGGUGAUCGCGUCGAUUCCGGAGGGAGGUCGGUCACACCUCGCGCCGCGGUCGUUGGCGUCCGAAUGGCUGUAUCCGA
rnacentral:rRNA from 1 species